rnacentral:rRNA from 1 species
AUUGAACGCUGGCGGCAGGCCUAACACAUGCAAGUCGGACGGUAGCACAGAGGAGCUUGCUCCUCGGGUGACGAGUGGCGGACGGGUGAGUAAUGUCUGGGGAUCUGCCCGAUAGAGGGGGAUAACCACUGGAAACGGUGGCUAAUACCGCAUAACGUCGCAAGACCAAAGAGGGGGACCUUCGGGCCUCUCACUAUCGGAUGAACCCAGAUGGGAUUAGCUAGUAGGCGGGGUAACGGCCCACCUAGGCGACGAUCCCUAGCUGGUCUGAGAGGAUGACCAGCCACACUGGAACUGAGACACGGUCCAGACGCCUACGGGAGGCAGCAGUGGGGAAUAUUGCACAAUGGGCGCAAGCCUGAUGCAGCCAUGCCGGGUGUAUGAAGAAGGCCUUCGGGUUGUAAAGUACUUUCAGCGGGGAGGAAGGCGAUAAGGUUAAUAACCUUGUCGAUUGACGUUACCCGCAGAAGAAGCACCGGCUAACUCCGUGCCAGCAGCCGCCGUAA